rnacentral:miRNA from 1 species
GGCCAUGCUUUCAAGGAGCUCACAGUCCAUUGGGGACAUACAUGUACUCAGACAGUGGUGACCCAGAGUGGGCAGGGA